rnacentral:rRNA from 1 species
CCUACGGGAGGCAGCAGUGAGGAAUAUUGGUCAAUGGGCGCGAGCCUGAACCAGCCAAGUAGCGUGAAGGAUGACUGCCCUACGGGUUGUAAACUUCUUUUAUAAAGAAUAAAGUUAGGCCGGUUUGCCCUUUUUGCUUUACCUUUUUAAUCAGGAACGGCUCACUCCCUGCCAGCAGCCGCGGUAAUACGGAGGAUCCGAGCGUUAUCCGGAUUUAUUGGGUUUAAAGGGAGCGUAGUUGGGUUGUUAAGUCCGGUGUGAAAGUUUGCGGCUCAACCGUAAAAUUGCAAUUGAUACUGGCAGUCUGGAGUACAGUUGAGGUAGGCGGAAUUCGUGGUGUAGCGGUGAAAUGCUUAGAUAUCGCGAAGAACUCCGAUUGCGAAGGCAGCUUACUAAACUGCAACUGACAUUGAUGCUCGAAAGUGUGGGUAUCAAACAGGAUUAGAUACCCCUGUAGUC